CCGCCGGCCGCCUCCCGCCUCCGGGCAGGCUCAGGAGCGCGCGGAGCGGGGUGUGGGCCUGUGACCCUCGAAGGCGUGGGCGGGGAGUAGGGGGUCGAGCUGGGGCCGCAGGCUGUCCCCGUACGGGCUGCUCCCCUGUGGCUCCGAAGCCACCUUUUUCUGAAGUUGUCAGCCCGCGUGUUUGAGAUUUCGUUUCUGGAAUCUCACGCGAACAAUCUGGAGAGAGGAACAGGGGUCUUGCGGCUUUGGCUGUUGACUCAAGGGGAAAAUAAAAACCAGACAAUGGGGAUGUAAUGAAUGCAAAGUGACCCGUGAGCAAACUGGACGCUUUUCUCCGGCUGACAGGCAUGAGUUCUCCCCGUAGCUUGCCCCACAUACUGUGAGUUAAACUGUGUCAAAGUAAGAGCAGUUUAGCCCCACAGUUCUGAGCAAGAGUCCUUAGCGCUGACCUUCUUAGUGAAGAUACUUUGCAAUGUGUAAAAUAUUGAAUACAAAAUUAUUGUGCAAAGCUUCUGAGUUGAAGAUUCUGAGUGCGCGGAGGCUGGCGGCAGCCCUUACUUGCCAUUGCAAGGAUCUCAACUUACUACUCUGAGAGCAAAAGUAGUUGUUUCUUUACAGAUGUGGGUUUAGGGGAGACAGCUAUGGAUGAGGAACAGGGGCGGGGUUCGUUUUCUGCACAAAACGUAUGCGAUUAGAAAAAACAAAGGGUUUUUAUUCUGCCUAUCUUCUUCCAUCUCAGCCAGCAUAAGCACAUUCUUUUUUUUCUGUUGAUGAUGUAUGCUGAGUAUUUGCAGCGAUUAGGAAAAGGAAUACUCUCUAACAAGACACUUCUCUUUAAACGAGGCGGUGGAGGGAUGAUUAUGUCUUCUGUGGAAUUAACCCUCCGGCUUGAUUUUCAGUGAAGAAAAUGAGGCACGAGGAAUUGUUAACCAAGACCUUCCAAGGCCCAGCUGUUGUGUGUGGGACUCCGACCAGCCACGUAUACAUGUUUAAGAAUGGCAGUGGGGACUCGGGGGACUCUUCUGAAGAAGAGUCUCACCGUGUGGUUUUGCGGCCCCGGGGCAAGGAGCGCCACAAGAGCGGUGUCCACCAGCCUCCCCAGGCGGGAGCAGGUGACGUGGUGCUGCUGCAGCGGGAGCUGGCCCAGGAGGACAGCCUCAACAAGCUGGCGCUGCAGUAUGGCUGCAAAGUUGCAGAUAUCAAGAAAGUCAACAACUUCAUCAGAGAACAAGACUUAUAUGCUUUGAAAUCUGUUAAGAUUCCAGUGAGAAACCAUGGGAUCCUGAUGGAGACCCACAAAGAACUGAAACCCCUUCUGAGCCCGUCUUCCGAGACCACAGUGACCGUGGAACUGCCAGAGGCAGACAGAGCAGGCGCGGGCACCGGUGCCCAGGCCGGCCAACUGAUGGGCUUCUUUAAGGGGAUUGACCAGGAUAUUGAGCGUGCAGUGCAGUCAGAAAUCUUUCUACAUGAAAGUUACUGCAUGGACACCUCCCAUCAGCCACUGCUCCCGGCACCUCCGAAGACGCCUAUGGAUGGUGCAGAUUGUGGCAUUCAGUGGUGGAAUGCUGUUUUCAUCAUGCUGCUGAUUGGAAAGAUCUAGGAGAGAGGGAGAAAUUGAUGCUGCCAGAAAGAGGGGACAGUUACAGAAGCGAAGACCUUGAGAAGGAGAUGAUGAGACCCAGGAUGCAACACAGAAGGCUUGGACUUAGAUAAGGGCACCAAGGUCCCUCGACAGUGCCUGGAGGGAAGAUUCCUGGAUAUCACGUGAGAAGAAAGAGUCCGAAAGAGGUGAUACCCUGGUAACAAUAAGCACAUCUAUUGCCCAGAUCUGGUUUCCAAAUACCAUUCUCCAAUAAAGGGAACCAGGAAUAGUGGAAAAAGUGGUUGACCCAACACCACAAGAUGAGUGUGGAGCACCUGUGGUGCCAGAAAGGACAUGCUAAGGGUGUGGACAGACUCAGAUUUCACAUGGAAGGCCACCUGAUCAAGCUCCUCAUGGCCAAAGCUGGAACAAGUGGAGGAGCAAAAUAAUGACAGGAUUAUAGCCCACAGGAGAAAUAAAAUCCGAGUCCACAAUGACAUAAUGAGUAACGAAAUGAGAAGGGACAGCUGUUCCUCGCAGCAGAAUUCCAAUGAAUAAAUGUGGAAGAAAACAGGCAGCUACCACAGCUAUAGACGCUGCACAAUUAGUGGGUGAAAAUAUAACCCUGCAGUCUCAAGGUAUCUCCCCCAAUAUAUGUAUCAAUUACAAAGGGAGAGAAACUUUUUACAUUGAAGAAACCCUGUAAAAACCACUGAACCAAGUGAUCAAAGUCAGUAUCGCCUGGAAUAAGACACCAACAUGGACCCCAUGAUGCAUUAGGGACAUACCAUUUCUGUGGUUUUCCCGCCAAAAUGCACAACUUCCUUCCAAUCAUCACAUUAGACACAUCCACACCGAGCGGUAUUAGACAAAAUAACCGAUCAGUAUUCAAAAGUGUCAAAGGUUAUAUAAGAAAAGCUGUAACAAGUGACAAAGGGAAUGUGGGAUCCUGGAUUGGAUCCUAGAACAGGCAUGAGUGGAAAAAAUGGGGAGAUUCAAGUAAGGUAUUUAGUUAAAAAUGCUGUGUCAAUAUUAAUUUCUGGGUUCUCGUACUUGUACUAUGGUUAUGUAAAUGUUAGCAUUAGGGAAAGCCCGCUGAGGGAUAUGUGGAAACCACAUUAUUUUCCCAACUUUUCUGUAAGUCAAAAGUGAGUUCAAAAUGAAGUGUAUACACUAAGAGUAAAAAAAGGGGGGACUGUGUAGUGAAACCAGUCAGUACAACUGCUUUCUUUCUUCCACAGCUGCGUUUGCUUUGGUUAGCUAGAAAGCAGGCCCAUCAUGCAUCUGUAAGAAAGUGACUGGAGUGUAGGCCCUGGCGUCUAAGCCGAGUAAGAUGCCCUGUCAAUCUGGGUCCUCUGGGAAGCAAGACUGAUGAAAUGAGGAGCACCAAAGCUUUACACCCCAGCUAUGUGCAUUUGGGGCUGGGGCUGCCUGGGAAGAGCUCGUCCUCAGCCCAAAGCCUGCAACAGCUGGGAUCAGGGCUUACCUCUCACAGACGGGGCUCAGCAACUUUCUGCGGGAUGAGGACACAAGCCCACUUGACCUGGAACGUCUGAAACCUCCUGGCCCCGUGGAAGAUGGGAAGAAACACUCCUCUUCCUCUCAGUUUUACAACCGAGUGGUCCUCGGGCUGCUUGUGAGCACCGGACGACCGACCGAGCAGGCUGCAGCCAAUCAGCUGGCACAGGGCUCCGACUGAAAAUCAUCUUGGCUGGUGCCACAGAAUCGGCCUGAAAACAGGAUACUGCCUAGAGCAAGGCACCCAGGGGAGCCAAGCAGGAAAAUGUAAUGAAUUGACUUUAAGUAGCUGCAGCUGUGAUUAGAGUAUUUUUAGCCACAGGACUCAACCAGCUUUCAAAACCUGCUAAUAAGAGCCCCACCGUAGCCAGCGCAAAAAUUUAGUUUUCAGUUUAACACCAGGAAUCUGCUUAGCUAGGAGCUGGCUUAGAAGGCACAUCAGGAGAGAACAUCUUCUACUGAAAGUUGAAGAUUUUUCAUUUUCUAGCUGAAUUAUGACAAAGGGAGAUGACCAUUAAGUGCCUGCCAGCAUACUGGGACGUACACCUAACACUCUGAAAACUCAAUUCAUGCCAGCACAUCUGUCUUCUGCUGCAUCUAGCUCAGCAUCAUGUAUGUAUUUUGGGCAAAACUAAUCAUUUCACACCCUAGACUUUAAAGAGACCCAGAAUCUAAUGAUAGCUAACAUACCCACCCCCUCUAACAGGCUUUGGCGUAUUUCCUGUGAGAAGCAGUUACUGGAGGCCGAAUGGAUUCCACUCAUCCACAGCACUGUGCAUGCAACAGCCAGAUUAGGCCCCGGUGGGACUGCGUGGCCCACUGCUUCCUAUGGGCUCCAGGGCUGCCCAGCAGGGAUGACCCGGGAGCCGACAAGGGGGAGGCCAGUGGGGGCGUUGGGACGGUUUCCUUGACCCUGUCUCAACCCAGAGAAAGAAGCCUGCAGGUGAAAAAGGUCUUCGUGAAAGGAAUGAAAAAGGAGAGGGCUUUAGGGGAAGGGGCUGCCUGGUGGCAAAGCCAGCGCCUUGUGUCCCCAGGCAAACAUGACAGAGUCUCGACGCACAGGAAGAGCCAGUCCGUCUUUACUGGAGUGAGUGCGGGAGACAAACAGUUUACAACAACCUUUAGCAUUGUCUUCACCAUUUGAUAAAAAGUUCACUAUUAUAUUUAUUGUAUAAUGAAGAAAAACAACACAUUCAGGGAAAAAUUGAGAUUAACUUAUUUUUCUUAAAAGGUUCAUCUCAAGGAUGGCAACAAAGUCCAGCUUGUGCCGCCAAACGGUUUUACAUGAUCAAACCGUGUACAGCUUCUUGUGUGAACUGUUGACUACAAACAUUUACCAAAUACAUAAAUCUCUUUUAAAAAAGCCAUUUUAAAUAUAGCAAAGCAGUGUCUUCUUGCACAGCAAAGUGAAGAAAGUUUCUACAGAGAAAUAGAAGUUUUACAUUUGUAAAAUCUUUUUCACAUUCUAAUCAUCUAGCUUAAGAUCCAAUGCCAGGAGUUUUCAGCUUCCUUAUUUACUAUGUAUUUCUUGUGCGCAUGAUGGUUAAUACAGAAAUUAUGUUGAUGCAUUACUAGUUAUCCUUCUAGUUAAAGGAAAGGGUAAAACAUGUAUUGUUCUUGUAGAACAAACCCCUGAUUUAGUCUAUAACAAAAUGGACAUAAUUGGGCUCAAAAGAUGGAGUUUUGAUUGGGACCACCUGUGUACACACAACAGUGACUUCCACUCGCGGUGGAGUGGCCAUUAGAGUACUGAGGAAGGACAGCUGUUGGAAACUGUACUUUAACCAGUGCAAUUUAAGCUUUUUUUGCUUUUGUUCUUUAGUAAUAAAAUACUUCUGGAGGGAUAAAA